GACCUCUCCUCAUCUCUGCACAGACGAGUGGCCGACUGUGGAGCCCAGGCUGUUCCUUCUGAUUCUGGAGCCUAGGCUGUUGCUUCCCAAUCUGGUGGUGAAUCCUCCAUAGUCUGAAUCUCCAACGACUGCUACUCCACACUAUUUUGUUUUGUUUUUAAGUUAAGACAAGGUGCUGUGCCAUGCUAGGAUAUGUACCACAAUGGAAGUGUUUCUUCUUUCAGUCUGAGAAAUGGAGGACUGCCCUCCCAGCUAAUUAUACCCUCCUUCCUGAGGAUCUGAAUUCAAGGAAUGGUCCUUCAGUUGUGUACAGAGGAUGACAGGGGCUUCACUGAUACAUUCUUCAGUGAACCAAGAGAUUUUCAUACUACCUCAGCUAACUGAGACUCUAAACAUAGUGGAGAGAAGCCACAAGAUGAAAAGAGCUUGGAUUCCUUAAUUACCAUGUGAUAAAAGCUACCUGCAGACUAACAGCUGUGAUGAAUUGCUUGGUGAAUGAAAAAAAAGUUCUAAAUUUUGGAGCCACUUACAUUUGAGGUUAACUUAAACCCACUUUCAUUAUUCUAACUAAAACAAUAAUUAAAAUAAAAUGUCACACAUUAAAA
rnacentral:lncRNA from 10 species